rnacentral:misc_RNA from 1 species
UUUCCGUAGGUGAACCUGCGGAAGGAUCAUUACUGAGUGAGGGCCCUCUGGGUCCAACCUCCCACCCGUGUUUAUUAUACCUUGUUGCUUCGGUGAGCCCGCCUCACGGCCGCCGGGGGGCAUCUGCCCCCGGGCCCGCGCCCACCGAAGACACCUAGAACUCUGUAUGAAGAUUGCAGUCCGAGCAAAAACUAAAUAAGUUAAAACUUUCAACAACGGAUCUCUUGGUUCCG